rnacentral:lncRNA from 10 species
AUGGACUGUUUAAGUUAGACGGUGACCUUCUAGAAGGUGCCAGCCUUGAAAUAACCACUACCUUCAUUAUGGCCUGCUCCUCACUGUAUAAGCCUCAUCUCUACCUAAUUUGGAGUCAGCCCUGUCCAGGAGGCUGAAUCCUAUAGACUAUCAACUGAUACGAUAAGCAAAAACAAUGGCCCCUCUAAAGACAUUCACAUCCUAAUCCCUGGAACUUGUGAACAUGUUACCUUAUGUGGCAGAAGAAGUCGGUGAUGCUAUGUGAAGACUCAAUCUUCCAUUGCUGGCUUUGAAAAUGGAGGAGCUGGCCACGAGCUAAGGAAUAUGGAGGGAAUUUUGAAACUGGAAAACGCAAGGAAAUGGAUUCUCCUCUAGAGCCCCCAGAAAGGAAUACAGCCCUGCCGACACUUUUAUUUGAGCCCAGUGAGACCUUUGUAGGACUUCUGACCUACAGAACUGUUAGAUAAAAAAUUUAUAUUAUUUAAGCCACCAAGCUUGUGGUCAUUUGUUACAGCAGUAAUAGGGAACUGCAGCUGGCUUCUGGUUGAAUUUGGCUAAUGGGAAUCAUCUGAAGAAGAUCAGAUGCUGAGAGGAAGAAGUGGUUGGAGUACUCCUUUACUAUUCUCCACUUGCUCUGCGCUGAGUGUCCUGGUGAGGGCGACAUCUCUCCCCAGCUAGAAUGUCUCCUCCACUGCUCUGGCUCUCAAUGGGAUGCUGAGGCACCAUUUCCUGUUUGCCCCUUCAAGCCUAGGGCUGGUAAGGACUUCCUGUUCUUAUCUGUCUUCUUACUCUACCCACAAUUUCAUAAGUAGUUCGUGAAGUAGCUCAAAUAGUGUUCCCCAAAAUUCACGUUCACCCAGAACCUCAGAAGGUGACCAUAUUUGGAAAUAGGGUCUGUGAAGGUAUAAUUAACUAAGGAUCUUGAGAUGAAAUCAUCGGAUAUUUAGGGUGACCCCUAAAUCCAAUGACUGGUGUCUUUGUGAGAAGAGGAAAAAACACAGAGAGACACACCAAGAAAGCCAUGUGAAGAUGGAGGCAGAUUAGGGUGAUGCCUCUUCAAGCCAGUGAAUGCCCAGGAUUGUGAGCAAACACCAGAUACUAAGAGAGACGCAUGGGCUUUCCCUCAGAGCCUCUAGAAGAAACCAAUUCUGUCAACACCUUAAGUUUGGACUUCUAGCCUCCUUAACUGUGAGAAAAUAAAUUUCUUUUGUUUUAAGCCACU